CCCAGGAGCCACAAGUGGCAACCACCUUUAUUGGGCCUAAAGCGUCCGUAGCCGGUCAUGUAAAUUUUCUGUGAAAUCGUUGCGCUUAACGCAACGGCGCGCAGAGAACACUGCAUGACUUGGGACCGGGAGGAGUCAGAGGUAUUUCAGGGGGAGCGGUAAAAUGCUAUAAUCCUUGGAGGACCACCUGUGGCGAAGGCGUCUGACUAGAACGGAUCCGACGGUGAGGGACGAAAGCUAGGGGAGCAAUCCGG
rnacentral:rRNA from 1 species